GACGAACGCUGGCGGCGUGCCUAAUACAUGCAAGUCGAGCGAGUCUGCCUUGAAGAUCGGAGUGCUUGCACUCUGUGAAACAAGAUACAGGCUAGCGGCGGACGGGUGAGUAACACGUGGGUAACCUGCCCAAGAGAUCGGGAUAACACCUGGAAACAGAUGCUAAUACCGGAUAACAACAGAUGAUGCCUAUCAACUGUUUAAAAGAUGGUUCUGCUAUCACUCUUGGAUGGACCUGCGGUGCAUUAGCUAGUUGGUGAGGUAACGGCCCACCAAGGCGACGAUCGGUAGCCGGACUGAGAGGUUGAACGGCCACAUUGGGACUGAGACACGGCCCAG
rnacentral:rRNA from 1 species